GAAUCAACGCUGGCGGCGUGCCUAACACAUGCAAGUCGCACGAGAAAGGGGAGCAAUCCCUGAGUAAAGUGGCGCACGGGUGAGUAACACGUGAAUCAUCUACCUCCGAGUGGGGAAUAACUGAGAGAAAUACUUAGCUAAUACCGCAUAACACUUACGAGUCAAAGACAGCAAUGCGCUUGGAGAGGAGUUCGCGGCCGAUUAGUUAGUUGGCGGGGUAAGUA
rnacentral:rRNA from 1 species